UUGAACUUUUUUACCGCUUAAAAGGGCAGCGGGGUGGCGCAUUGCAAGUUUAAGGUUUAGCCAUUGGUCUCUUUCUUAUGUCUGGUAUUCAAAAAGAGAAGGUCACGGGUUGUUUUAUACGAGUAUCUUUCAUUUAUUUGUCGUGGGCUACGGCCAAACAGUAGCCUGUGUGGAGUUGGGUUAAUAAACCCAACCUUUGUCUGGACAAUUGUUCCUGUUAUGAUCUAGUCAGGUCAUUACAAUAGUAAUAUGCUCUAAAAAUACAGUAGAAAUAUGUCCUAAAACGCUUGUGACAAACACACUUUGCUGUCCUGUUUUCUAAUCGUCCACAUGGAGAACCUAUUCAAGUAAGUCAAUACAUUUCUAAAAUGUAAAAAAAAAAAACAACAACGUUGUAUUAUUAGCUAACUAGCUACAGUGCAGGCUAACUAAAAUGAGCUAGCUAGUUGGCUAGGCCCCAUCUAGGCAACUUUACAUACUGCAUAGAUAGCUAGCUAAGUGAAUUAGAUGUCACCAGCUACCUAACUUCAAAUUUGCUAGCUAUCUUGAUGUAUUUAUUCAUGUAAAAAACUCCAAAUGCAUUUGUAGGUAGCUAGCUAACAGCCAUAGAGAAGGGUGAAAGGAAUGCAGACCCAACUGUGGAUAGGGCAGGUACGUUUGUGUAGUUCCAGUCCCUAGAAGUGAGAACCGGGAUAAUAGUAACAUACUAUUCAGUGCGGUCUAAUUUGAGUAUAAUGAAGUCUGUUUCUUGUGAGGUUUUCUGUCCUCGGUUACAGAGAGCUGUGAAAUCCUGUCUACUCAAAGGGGUGCACGUUUUUGCACUGCACAGCUGACACACAUGAUCAACUCCUCAAGCGGUAAUUAUGUAUUCCUUUGUGAUGCUGUCCUUGAUAUAGGCGGCAGGGUAGCCUAGUGGUUAGAGCUUUGGACUAGUAACCGAAAGGUUGCAAGUUCGAAUCUCCGAGCUGACAAGGUACAAAUCUGUCGUUCUGCCCCUGAACAGGCAGUUAACCCAUCCUAGGCCGUCAUUGAAAAUAAGAAUUUGUUCUUAACUAGUCAAAUAAAAAUAGGAUCCUGCUAUUUGCAUCUAUCAAUCCAAUGUUAUCAUGAUUUGUUAUAAGGGAUAUUAUACUUUAGUAAUCCACAAUGACCUGGUGAUAUAAUGUCAAUAUUAGACUUCAAUUCUAUGUUCCUACGGAUACCUUGUAACUGGAGAUUCCUUCAAAACCGAUUGCCAACAGUUAACAUGUAGGGCACUGCAAGGUUGGGUGACCAGGGUCAUCUGGGACUGCCUCCUGGAGGAAUUCAGGUGUGUGAAGGCUACCUGUGUCCUGCAUAACGUCAUGAGGAUGGACACGAGGACCAGGAGGGGGGGGGGGUCUGUGUGCUGGAUUUCUUCACCACAUACUUUUUUUGAGGAAGGUGCUGUUCCCUGGCAACACUGUAGACUACACUAUGCACAACCAAAGGCUCUUUAAAGAGGGUGCUGUUCCCUGGCAAUACUGUAGACUACACUAUGCACAACCAAAGACUCUUUUAAGAGGGUGCUGUUCCCUGGCAACACCGUAGACUACACUAUGCACAACCAAAGGCUCUUUAAAGAGGGUGCUGUUCCCUGGCAACACCGUAGACUACACUAUGCACAACCAAAGGCUCUUUAAAGAGGGUGCUGUUCCCUGGCAACACUGUAGACUACACUAUGCACAACCAAAGGCUCUUUAAAGAGGGUGCUGUUCCCUGGCAACACCGUAGACUACACUAUGCACAACCAAAGGCUCUUUAAAGAGGGUGCUGUUCCCUGGCAACACUGUAGACUACACUAUGCACAACCAAAGGCUCUUUAAAGAGGGUGCUGUUCCCUGGCAACACUGUAGACUACACUAUGCACAACCAAAGGCUCUUUAAAGAGCCAUUCACAUUGCAAUAAGAGUAUUAUUCCAUUUACUUAGCUAUGUCAACUGCAGUUAUAUCAGUUUUAUCUCCAUCUCUUCAUUCAAAGACUCAAUCAUGGACACUCUUACUGACAGUUGUGGCUGUGUUGCGUGAUGUAUUGUUGUCUUUACCUUCUUGACCUUUUGUGCUGUUGUCUUCGCCCAAUAAUGUUUGUACCCUGUGCUCUUCUCAUAUUGUUACUACCAUGUUGUCAUGUUGAGUUGCUACCAUGUUGUCAUGUUGAGUUGCUACCAUGCUGUCAUGUUGAGUUGCUACCAUGCUGUCAUGUUGAGUUGCUACCAUGCUGUCAUGUUGAGUUGCUACCAUGUUGUCAUGUUGAGUUGCUACCAUGUUGUCAUGUUGAGUUGCUACCAUGUUGUCAUGUUGAGUUGCUACCAUGUUGUCAUGUUGAGUUGCUACCAUGUUGUCAUGUUGAGUUGCUACCAUGUUGUCAUGUUGAGUUGCUACCAUGUUGUCAUGUUGAGUUGCUACCAUGUUGUCAUGUUGAGUUGCUACCAUGUUGUCAUGUUGAGUUGCUACCAUGUUGUCAUGUUGAGUUGCUACCAUGCUGUCAUGUUGAGUUGCUACCAUGUUGUCAUGUUGAGUUGCUACCAUGUUGUCAUGUUGAGUUGCUACCAUGUUGUCAUGUUGAGUUGCUACCUUGAGUUGCUACCAUGUUGUCAUGUUGAGUUGCUACCAUGUUGUCAUGUUGAGUUGCUACCUUGAGUUGCUACCAUGCUGUCAUGUUGAGUUGCUACCAUGUUGUCAUGUUGAGUUGUUACCAUGAGUUGCUACCAUGUUGUCAUGUUGAGUUGCUACCUUGAGUUGCUACCAUGUUGUCAUGUUGAGUUUCUACCAUGUUGAGUUGCUACCAUGUUGUCAUGUUGAGUUGCUACCAUGUUGUCAUGUUGAGUUUCUACCAUGUUGAGUUGCUUACCUUGAGUUGCUACCAUGUUGUCAUGUUGAGUUUCUACCAUGUUGAGUUGCUACCAUGUUGUCAUGUUGAGUUGCUACCUUGAGUUACUACCAUGUUGUCAUGUUGAGUUGCUACCAUGUUGUGUUGCUGCCACGUUGUCUUAGGUCUCUUUUUGUAGUGUUGUUGUUGUCGUCUCUUGUCAUGAUGUGUGUUGUGUCCUAUUUUUAUUUAAUUUAUUUUAAUCCCGCCCCCGCAGGAGGCCUUUUGCCUCUUGGUAGGCCGUCAUCGUAAAUAAGAAUUUGUUAACUGACUUGGUUAGUUAACUAAAAUAUAAGAUUCCCAGUUCCUCUCCGUUUUUUGAUUUCUACUUCUCAGGUGAGGGUGCUGUUUAGGUAAGGGUGUGAUGUCUGCACAAAAACAAAACAGGCUAUUUUAAAUCACCCAUAUUGAUGACAUUUAGAACAAUUAGAUAUCCUAUCACCUACACACUCAUGUAUCAAUCUGAUUGAUGGAUUGUGUUGUGCAGUAUAUUAGAUAUCCUAUCACCUACACACUCAUGUAUCAAUCUGAUUGAUGGAUUGUGUUGUGCAGUAUAUUAGAUAUCCUAUCACCUACACACUCAUGUAUCAAUCUGAUUGAUGGAUUGUGUUGUGCAGUAAGCAGGUUCAGCUGUAUAACUGUGGCUCCUUACACCUCCAAAGAAUAGUCAAGAGGGCCGACCGUGGAGAAUAGUUAUAUCAGCUGUGUCGGUGAACCCCUCCCGCAUCUGAACUGGCUACAUAGAGGGCACUUGGUCGGGUCAACAGGAAUAGAGAUGUAGUAGUCCCAGAGUUAAUGAUCCCAGGUCAGUUUAUAUUAUACAGGAAGUAUUAUUAAAGAGAUGCCUUACAUUGAAAUACAGAUAGAUGUAGUAGUCCCAGAGUUAAUGAUCCCAGGUCAGUUUUGCAUUUCACCUCUUGAUGAUUAUUAUGACAGACUGUUAGUUUAAGCCUGUUUGUUUUUAAUUUAUUUUUUAUUCAGUCUCUCCAUAUGCAGGAUAUUUUUUAUUUUUUAUUCACCUUUAUUUAACCAGGUAGGCCAGUUGAGAACAAGUUCUCAUUUACAACUGCUUACCUAACCAAGAUAAAGCAAAGCAGUGUGACAAAAACAAUAGAGUUACACAUGGAAUAAACAUGUAUGUUUUGAUGUGAGAGAGGAUGCCAACACUCGGUCCCGUCAUCGCCACCUCACUCGCUCUUAAGAUAACCUUCGGGCCGACUAGGAGCCCAAGGCUGGUUAGAAGACACUGAUGUAAUAGUUAUGAACUGAGAGAAUAUUAGGGUAACAGAAUAUUAGGGUAGCACUGUGAUUCAUUAAUCACAUGCGGUCUUCCCUGCUCCUCUGUUCUUACCUCUUUCCCUUUGUGUUCUACACCUCUCUCUCUCCACCUCCUUUCUUCCUCUGUUCUUACCUCUUUUCCUGUCUUCUACACCUCUCUCUCCACCUCCUUUCUUCCUCUGUUCUUACCUCUUUUCCUGUCUUCUACACCUCUCUCCACCUCCUUUCUUCCUCUGUUCUUACCUCUUUUCCUGUCUUCUACACCUCUCUCUCCACCUCCUUUCUUCCUCUGUUCUUACCUCUUUUCCUGUCUUCUACACCUCUCUCCACCUCCUUUCUUCCUCUGUUCUUACCUCUUUUCCUGUCUUCUACACCUCUCUCUCUCUCUCUCCACCUCCUUCCUCUGUUGUUAUAAUGCACACCAGAUGUGCAUUGAAGUACAGAUUGAACUUGUAUUUAUAAUAUAUUAUUUAUUUAUUAUUUAUAACACUUGUAUAAUGAACUUAUUUCAAUAAAGCGUUUCACAUUUUCUA